rnacentral:rRNA from 1 species
GGUUAAGCGACUAAGCGUACACGGUGGAUGCCCUGGCAGUCAGAGGCGAUGAAGGACGUGCUAAUCUGCGAUAAGCGUCGGUAAGGUGAUAUGAACCGUUAUAACCGGCGAUUUCCGAAUGGGGAAACCCAGUGUGUUUCGACACACUAUCAUUAACUGAAUCCAUAGGUUAAUGAGGCGAACCGGGGGAACUGAAACAUCUAAGUACCCCGAGGAAAAGAAAUCAACCGAGAUUCCCCCAGUAGCGGCGAGCGAACGGGGAGGAGCCCAGAGCCUGAAUCAGUGUGUGUGUUAGUGGAAGCGUCUGGAAAGGCGCGCGAUACAGGGUGACAGCCCCGUACACAAAAAUGCACAUGCUGUGAGCUCGAUGAGUAGGGCGGGACACGUGGUAUCCUGUCUGAAUAUGGGGGGACCAUCCUCCAAGGCUAAAUACUCCUGACUGACCGAUAGUGAACCAGUACCGUGAGGGAAAGGCGAAAAGAACCCCGGCGAGGGGAGUGAAAAAGAACCUGAAACCGUGUACGUACAAGCAGUGGGAGCCUCUUUUAUGGGGUGACUGCGUACCUUUUGUAUAAUGGGUCAGCGACUUAUAUUCUGUAGCAAGGUUAACCGAAUAGGGGAGCCGAAGGGAAACCGAGUCUUAACUGGGCGUUAAGUUGCAGGGUAUAGACCCGAAACCCGGUGAUCUAGCCAUGGGCAGGUUGAAGGUUGGGUAACACUAACUGGAGGACCGAACCGACUAAUGUUGAAAAAUUAGCGGAUGACUUGUGGCUGGGGGUGAAAGGCCAAUCAAACCGGGAGAUAGCUGGUUCUCCCCGAAAGCUAUUUAGGUAGCGCCUCGUGAAUUCAUCUCCGGGGGUAGAGCACUGUUUCGGCAAGGGGGUCAUCCCGACUUACCAACCCGAUGCAAACUGCGAAUACCGGAGAAUGUUAUCACGGGAGACACACGGCGGGUGCUAACGUCCGUCGUGAAGAGGGAAACAACCCAGACCGCCAGCUAAGGUCCCAAAGUCAUGGUUAAGUGGGAAACGAUGUGGGAAGGCCCAGACAGCCAGGAUGUUGGCUUAGAAGCAGCCAUCAUUUAAAGAAAGCGUAAUAGCUCACUGGUCGAGUCGGCCUGCGCGGAAGAUGUAACGGGGCUAAACCAUGCACCGAAGCUGCGGCAGCGACGCUUAUGCGUUGUUGGGUAGGGGAGCGUUCUGUAAGCCUGCGAAGGUGUACUGUGAGGUAUGCUGGAGGUAUCAGAAGUGCGAAUGCUGACAUAAGUAACGAUAAAGCGGGUGAAAAGCCCGCUCGCCGGAAGACCAAGGGUUCCUGUCCAACGUUAAUCGGGGCAGGGUGAGUCGACCCCUAAGGCGAGGCCGAAAGGCGUAGUCGAUGGGAAACAGGUUAAUAUUCCUGUACUUGGUGUUACUGCGAAGGGGGGACGGAGAAGGCUAUGUUGGCCGGGCGACGGUUGUCCCGGUUUAAGCGUGUAGGCUGGUUUUCCAGGCAAAUCCGGAAAAUCAAGGCUGAGGCGUGAUGACGAGGCACUACGGUGCUGAAGCAACAAAUGCCCUGCUUCCAGGAAAAGCCUCUAAGCAUCAGGUAACAUCAAAUCGUACCCCAAACCGACACAGGUGGUCAGGUAGAGAAUACCAAGGCGCUUGAGAGAACUCGGGUGAAGGAACUAGGCAAAAUGGUGCCGUAACUUCGGGAGAAGGCACGCUGAUAUGUAGGUGAAGUCCCUCGCGGAUGGAGCUGAAAUCAGUCGAAGAUACCAGCUGGCUGCAACUGUUUAUUAAAAACACAGCACUGUGCAAACACGAAAGUGGACGUAUACGGUGUGACGCCUGCCCGGUGCCGGAAGGUUAAUUGAUGGGGUUAGCGCAAGCGAAGCUCUUGAUCGAAGCCCCGGUAAACGGCGGCCGUAACUAUAACGGUCCUAAGGUAGCGAAAUUCCUUGUCGGGUAAGUUCCGACCUGCACGAAUGGCGUAAUGAUGGCCAGGCUGUCUCCACCCGAGACUCAGUGAAAUUGAACUCGCUGUGAAGAUGCAGUGUACCCGCGGCAAGACGGAAAGACCCCGUGAACCUUUACUAUAGCUUGACACUGAACAUUGAGCCUUGAUGUGUAGGAUAGGUGGGAGGCUUGGAAGUGUGGACGCCAGUCUGCAUGGAGCCGACCUUGAAAUACCACCCUUUAAUGUUUGAUGUUCUAACGUUGACCCGUAAUCCGGGUUGCGGACAGUGUCUGGUGGGUAGUUUGACUGGGGCGGUCUCCUCCUAAAGAGUAACGGAGGAGCACGAAGGUUGGCUAAUCCUGGUCGGACAUCAGGAGGUUAGUGCAAUGGCAUAAGCCAGCUUGACUGCGAGCGUGACGGCGCGAGCAGGUGCGAAAGCAGGUCAUAGUGAUCCGGUGGUUCUGAAUGGAAGGGCCAUCGCUCAACGGAUAAAAGGUACUCCGGGGAUAACAGGCUGAUACCGCCCAAGAGUUCAUAUCGACGGCGGUGUUUGGCACCUCGAUGUCGGCUCAUCACAUCCUGGGGCUGAAGUAGGUCCCAAGGGUAUGGCUGUUCGCCAUUUAAAGUGGUACGCGAGCUGGGUUUAGAACGUCGUGAGACAGUUCGGUCCCUAUCUGCCGUGGGCGCUGGAGAACUGAGGGGGGCUGCUCCUAGUACGAGAGGACCGGAGUGGACGCAUCACUGGUGUUCGGGUUGUCAUGCCAAUGGCACUGCCCGGUAGCUAAAUGCGGAAGAGAUAAGUGCUGAAAGCAUCUAAGCACGAAACUUGCCCCGAGAUGAGUUCUCCCUGACUCCUUGAGAGUCCUGAAGGAACGUUGAAGACGACGACGUUGAUAGGCCGGGUGUGUAAGCGCAGCGAUGCGUUGAGCUAACCGGUACUAAUGAACCGUGAGGCUUAACCUU